rnacentral:misc_RNA from 1 species
GAUGAAGAACGUAGCGAAAUGCGAUACUUGGUGUGAAUUGCAGAAUCCCGUGAACCAUCGAGUCUUUGAACGCAAGUUGCGCCUCAAGCCAUUAGGUUGAGGGCACGUCUGCCUGGGCGUCACAUAUCGUUGCCUGAUGCCAGUUUCCUCGUGAUGGGUGACUGUGCAGGGCGAAUGAUGGCUUCCCGUGAGCAUUGUUGCCUCAUGGUUGGUUGAAAAUUGAGUCCUUGGUAGGGAGCGCCGUGAUAGAUGGUGGUUGAGUGACGAACGAGACCCAAUCAUGUGAGACCCCUACCGAAUUUGGCCUUCAUGACCCACAUGCGUCUUUGGAACGCUCAUGACGAGACCUCAGGUCAGGCGGGGCUACCCGCUGAGUUUAAGCACAUCAAUAAGCGGAGGA